UACGUAGGGGGCGAGCGUUGUCCGGAAUCAUUGGGCGUAAAGCGCGCGCAGGCGGCCCCUUAAGUCUGAUGUGAAAGCCCACGGCUCAACCGUGGAGGGCCAUUGGAAACUGGGGGGCUUGAGUGCAGGAGAGGAGAGCGGAAUUCCUGGUGUAGCGGUGAAAUGCGUAGAGAUCAGGAGGAACACCGAUGGCGAAGGCAGCUCUCUGGCCUGUAACUGACGCUGAGGCGCGAAAGCGUGGGGAGCAAACAGG
rnacentral:rRNA from 1 species